AGCAGAGUGGCGCAGUGGAAGCGUGCUGGGCCCAUAAUCCAGAAGUCCGUAGAUCGAAACUAUGCUCUUGCUA
rfam:Oryctes borbonicus contig17329, whole genome shotgun sequence.